AUUGAACGCUGGCGGCAGGCCUAACACAUGCAAGUCGAGCGGAUGAAGGGAGCUUGCUCCUGGAUUCAGCGCCGGACGGGUGAGUAAUGCCUAGGAAUCUGCCUGGUAGUGGGGGAUAACGUCCGGAAACGGGCGCUAAUACCGCAUACGUCCUGAGGGAGAAAGUGGGGGAUCUUCGGACCUCACGCUAUCAGAUGAUCCUAGGUCGGAUUAGCUAGUUGGUGGGGUAAAGGCCUACCAAGGCGACGAUCCGUAACUGGUCUGAGAGGAUGAUCAGUCACACUGGAACUGAGACACGGUCCAGACUCCUACGGGAGGCAGCAGUGGGGAAUAUUGGACAAUGGGCGAAAGCCUGAUCCAGCCAUGCCGCGUGUGUGAAGAAGGUCUUCGGAUUGUAAAGCACUUUAAGUUGGGAGGAAGGGCAGUAAGUUAAUACCUUGCUGUUUUGACGUUACCAACAGAAUAAGCACCGGCUAACUUCGUG
rnacentral:rRNA from 1 species